rnacentral:tmRNA from 1 species
GGGGGCGAAAUAGGCUUCGACAUUAGAGAAAAAAGGAAAAGAUUGCCUGUAAAGGUGCCGGGCCCUUUAAAAACCGGUAAAACAUAACUGCCACAACGGCAAAUUUUAUGGCUGCUUAACUAAACAGCCACUCGUUCAAAUUCCCGCCCUUGGAAUUUGAAAACGAGUCGCUAAAGGGCUUAUUCUGAGAAACUUUUGUUUCUGGAUAUCAGAAGAAAGUAUAACAGAAACAUCUUUUCCAUAAAUCCUGCUUCGGGGAGACUGGAAAAAGAUAAAAAAACCGGAGAUACAUAGGUAGAUAUCUUUCCUGUUCUCUUCUGGACGCGGGGGCAGUACCCGCCGCCUCCACAU